rnacentral:rRNA from 1 species
AUGGUAACUAAUUUUAAAAGGCUUAAUGAUAAUACAAUUGAUGAUGCAUAUAAUAUACCUAAUAAGCAGGAAUGGAUUAACAGAAUACGAGGAAGUAAAUAUUUCUCUAAAUUCGACUUAAAGGCAGGAUUUUGGCAAGUAAAAAUGGGUGAAGAAUCUAUUCCUUGGACAGCAUUUACUUGUCCACAAGGCCACUAUGAAUGGCUAGUAAUGCCAUUAGGUCUAAAGAAUGCACCUGCACUAUUUCAAAGAAAGAUGCAAACUAUAUUUAAUGAGAAUCAAGCAUUUAUAUUAGUAUACGUAGAUGAUUUGUUAGUAUUCUCAAAAUCAUACAAGGAGCAUAUAGCCCAUCUUGAAGUGUUCUUUCGAAAGGAAGAACAAAAUGGAAUCAUACUAUCCAAAAAGAAGAUGGAAAUUUGCAAAGAAAAAUAA